rnacentral:rRNA from 1 species
AGCGAACGCUGGCGGCAGGCCUAACACAUGCAAGUCGAACGGAUCCUUCGGGAUUAGUGGCGGACGGGUGAGUAACACGUGGGAACGUGCCCUUUGGUUCGGAACAACUCAGGGAAGCUUGAGCUAAUACCGGAUGUGCCCUUCGGGGGAAAGAUUUAUCGCCAUUGGAGCGGCCCGCGUCUGAUUAGCUAGUUGGUGGGGUAAAGGCCCACCAAGGCGACGAUCAGUAGCUGGUCUGAGAGGAUGAUCAGCCACAUUGGGACUGAGACACGGCCCAAACUCCUACGGGAGGCAGCAGUGGGGAAUCUUGCGCAAUGGGCGAAAGCCUGACGCAGCCAUGCCGCGUGAAUGAUGAAGGUCUUAGGAUUGUAAAAUUCUUUCACCGGGGACGAUAAUGACGGUACCCGGAGAAGAAGCCCCGGCUAACUUCGUGCCAGCCGCCGCCGUAAGAC